GACACUCUAUUCACAUUCUUGCCUUUAAUGAUGCCAAUCACAGCGGAUUUUCGAAGGCAAUGCUGCUGGUGCUUGAUCCUUGUUUCUUUUGUUGCUUUGGCGAUGAUCCAGGUGGUGGAGGCCUCCGGAAGUAAGCCACUCACUCACCCGUAAGCCUACCAGUUUCUAACACUGUUGUUAUUGCAGAAAGGCAUUGCGCUCGAAGGUGUGUGCCUUCUGGACCCGAUCCAUCGGGUAACAAGUAACCCAAAAUGCAGCCACCAAAAUGUUGUAAAUAAAUAAUCGGGCAACAAGUAUGC
rnacentral:lncRNA from 1 species